UUGUCGAAUCCUGCAAAGCAGACGACCGCGAACUUGUGUAAUUGCCGGGCGUCGGGGAACGGGGGAGACUAAAGCCUCCCCUAACUCCUCGGCGCUCCCCGCGCACCGCGCGGACAACAACUCAACCCCGGCGCGGAAAGCGCCAAGGAAAACUCAAAAGGAUUGCCCACCUCCCCGUGCGCGGGGUGUGUUGUGGCGUCUGUCGUAACCAAAACGACUCUCGGCAACGGAUAUCUCGGCUCUCGCAUCGAUGAAGAACGUAGCGAAAUGCGAUACUUGGUGUGAAUUGCAGAAUCCCGUGAACCAUCGAGUCUUUGAACGCAAGUUGCGCCCGAAGCCAUUAGGCCGAGGGCACGCCUGCCUGGGCGUCACGCAUCGCGUCGCCACCCCCCUUUUGCGGGGCGGCGGAUACUGGCCUCCCGUCCCAAGAAGGCGCGGCUGGCCUAAAUUCGAGUCCUCGACGGGSGACGUCACGACAAGUGGUGGUUGAAUGCCUCAACUCGAUUCCUGUCGUGUUCAUUGGCCUCGUCGUAUCUCGGGCUCCUUGACCCUUCUUGCUUGCAUCUCGAUGCGAGCCUCGACCGCGACCCCA
rnacentral:rRNA from 1 species